GUCCACGCCGUAAACGUUGGGCACUAGGUGUGGGUCUCAACCAACGAGAUUCGCGCCGUCGCUAACGCAUUAAGUGCCCCGCCUGGGGGAGUACGACCGCAAGGUUAAAACUCAAAGGAAUUGACGGGGGCCCGCACAAGCAGCGGAGCGUGUUGCUUAAUUCGAUGCAACGCGAAGAACCUUACCUGGGCUUGACAUGUACGGAAAAGCCGUAGAGAUACGGUGUCCUUCGGGGCCGUACACAGGUGGUGCAUGGCUGUCGU
rnacentral:rRNA from 1 species